AUUGAACGCUGGCGGCAGGCCUAACACAUGCAAGUCGAGCGGAGCGGCGGACGGGUGAGUAAUGCCUAGGAAUCUGCCUGGUAGUGGGGGAUAACGUCCGGAAACGGGCGCUAAUACCGCAUACUAUCAGAUGAGACUAGGUCGGAUUGGCUGGUUGGUGGUGUAAAGGCCUACCAAGGCGACGAUCCGUAACUGGUCUGAGAGGAUGAUCAGUCACAUGGGGACUGGGAUACGGCCCAGACUCCUACGGGCGGCAGCAGUGGGGGAUAGUGCACAAUGGGCGAAAGCCUGAUGCGGCGACGCCGCGUGGGGGAUGAAGGCUUGCGGGUUGUAAACCUCUUUCGCUAUCGAACGGGUAGGUGGAGAAGAAGCGCCGGCUAACUACGUGCCAGCAGCCGCGGUAAUUC
rnacentral:rRNA from 1 species